AUUGACUAAAACAACUCUUGUGGGUUUCCUGUUGUUACACAUUCACAUAUUAUUCCUAUGAUAUAUGAUCACUGUUAAUGAGGUAAUCUAUAUAACUUUUUUGUGUUUUUGGUUCAUUUAUUUAUUGUUUCGACAAUCGAUUCAUUGACUGAGUUUCUUAUGGUUUUCCGUAGCUUCGUGGCACCAGAAUUUGAUUUAUACUCUGAUCCAGAUUUAGUUAUGUGAGAAGAAAGAUCUUAGGACCUAGAUAGAAGGACUAACAAAACGAUUCACAUUCUUGCUUGGAAUCCGUGUUGAGUGACUUGAGUCUCUGAUGCGAAAUUCAAACAGUGAAUUCAGAGUGGUUAUAUCACAGAUGAAUGAACAAGACUGUGCAUUCAGAUCUCAUAUCUUUACCGUUGGAAAAAGUGGAAAAAUUGUCUUAGGAUGGAUAACAAAGUCUACAUCCAUGCAGUUAUUCAGCUCUGUGGAGUUAGAGGCAAUAAUAAGACUCUUUCCAAGGCAUCUGCCGGCAACCAAGAAAAGAGCCUAACACAGCCAUAGUCCUUGCUCACAAUUUCGAUUUCAUUGUAAGCAAAACUAUCCAGAAUGUUAAAUAUUUUUGUUAAAAUUAUAUUUCUAGACAUUAGAAAUCACUGUGGUUUUUACACAAUACAAUUAUAAACAUGGGGGAUUACAUGAGAGCCUUACUUAUAUCUGUUGUUACAUAGCUUGGGCUAGAUGAUUAAACAAUGGUGAAUGAGACACUCUCAUUAACCACAACCACCAGUUUUUAUUGUUUUCUGUGUCGUCUGUUUUCUUUGUUCUGGUUCAAAGAAGGAAGUGCAAGUUUGGGUUUUCAGUUUCUCACCGAUCAUCCAAUUAAUAUUGCGGCAUACAGUUUUAUUAUUGGCAGCAGAUUUUUUUAUUUUCUUUUUCCCUUCUUUUUCUGGAUCAUCAGUUUGGUUUGGUUGCCAUUUCUGAUUUGUUUUGGUUUGUUUGAUUAAUUUUUGGAUCAUAUUGUUAAGUAUGGCCAGGUCGCUAUUUAACAUCGCUCUCAAAUACCACACAGCCGAUAGAGAAGAAGUUCCCUACAAUCUAUGGGAUUAACAUUGCGGAAAAUAAAUUUUUCUUAUGAUUUGUCUUACUGGUGCUGUUAUGUCACGGCGACAAACACUCUUACCUCAGCAACGAUCAUAAGACUUGACAUGGUGCAGCUGCAGAGAACACAUACACUCCGAUUAACUUAGCUCAUAAUACAUAUUGGAACUUGGCUGUAGCGAGUCAUGAAAAGUUUUUGACCACAUGAUCUAGAUUUGGGAUCCGCAUGUCACCUGUGUGGAUAAACACACAAUUCCUACAUGCGAGAUUUUGCCGGGAAUGGGAACUCCUUUCGGUUUCACCAAUGAGAAAUGGAUAGUAGAGUCUAUAGGAGAGGUUGGUAUCCGAUAUGAUAACAACUACGCAUUGGACUGCCCUGAUUAAGAGAAGGACAGGCUGAAACACGUGACAAAGCUAAGGGAAGGUGCGAGUGGAACAGGUGGUUUUAGAUGUAUGUGGUUUUGGUGCUAAAGGAUUGAAAUAAAUGGCCAUUAAAUAGCGUUUGAGCUCUUCAACUUUGGUAUGAUCCUAUUGUUCUAAAAUGAUCUUAUGGAAUUUCCUGUAAUCUCUUUAUGUUUUCUUUACGAUGGCUUUGUCUCCGGGAAGUCGUUACACUUCGCUGGCUUUGGACUCCCAUAAUCAUUUGGGCUUUGUAUCGGUUCAUCCGA